GGUGGAGAGCCCUGUGGCUUUGUGCCUGCCAGCAGUAAAGCCUCUGAGAUGAGGGGUCAGAGGGUGAUUCCAAAGCACAGGAUCAGCAGGAUAACUCCUCAUCACAAGGGGAAUUUCUUGGAAGUUUGCUCGAGAAGACUGAGGCUUCUCUACUCUGUGUGCUUGUAGAUAAGACCAUCUCCUGAGGAGAGAAGUGCUCACGGACACAGCCCACCUCUGCUGCAACCUAUUUAUAUCUGCCACACAGACAGAGGACAACGUGAUUCAGAUGUUAAUCAGUUCCUGGCAGCAUUACAGAGCCUCCUUGAGUGAAAAGCAAUCCAGCUCUGCAGAUGAGGCAGAAGCACAUAGGGCUUUAUUGUACCCUCCUACUGCAAGAGCCUGACUUAGGCACAGUGACUGCUCCCAUCCAGAAUCUGCACAGGGAGCUAAGAUCCAGCAAACCUGGAUUUUAGGGGUCUGGUGUCUCCCUUCUUUCUUGAGCUGAAUUGCCAUAACAGUCAUGGCAACUGAGUGAGGCCUUUUGUAGGUGGUCUGAACACAACCCACAUUGCCAGGCUCUGCCUUCAUCUACUCCUCCCCAAGCCGUGAAACCAAAACACCACCAAUUUAUUACUGGCUGCUAAGAAAUGAGAAGCUGUGUCCCCUCUGCUUGCUUCAACAUGGACUUUAAAUGCAACUCCUUUCUUAGAAGAAGCUGCAGAAAUGGCACUGCAGAGUCUCAGUGGGCUCUGUCCCAAGGAGUGCAGGCUGCAGGUUCUCACUCUGUGUGGAAAUGGUUAUUUCUUUUUUCUAGCUGUCCAUGCUGGCUGGCCAGUCUGGGAUGGAAACCAGCAAUACAUCCAGCCCUAGGUGCCUAGGACUUGAAAUGCAAAUUCUGCACUGUGGCCUCUCACAGCCACGUUUGUGUGUGUGCCCAGGAGUGCAAGGAAGUGACAUUUUUUGCAAUGAAUUUUGAGAACAAAGCGUCACAGGUAGACAGCAGCGAGAUCUGUCAUCUUCACAAAGCACUUCUCCUGUGCUGCAGGAGCAGCACAUUAAUGAAGCAGUCAAUACAGGGCUGCCUUUUUUCCUGCCCUUGACUGCUACCAGAGGCUGAGCUGGCUGAGUGAGCUGGGUCUCUGUAGCUUCCCUGGCUCUCUUUGAAGAGGUUUGUCUCUGUGAUACAGCAGCUCUGCUACAUCCACAGAACAGUGUAGCACCAAGAUGCUGGCCUCUGAAAAUUCAGCAGAAUGGAUUCACUGUACUGGUGACCAACACUGAACAGGAAAAUUAUAAAAAAAUCAAGAAUAAUGACACUGAUGGACAGACCUGUGAUGCAACAAAGAGAAGGUUUCAGCCUCUUGCCAAUUUGUAGGCCAGUAUAUUUCAGUGUUCUGCCUGAAAGCUGAAGAGCUGUUGUGACACCACAGUCACCAUACAGUUAAGGUCUGGAAUGUGAUGUUCUGGACAUGAAAACAAGCCUCUAACCCAGGAACACACUCUCCAGCUGCAGUGUAACAGAUGUGCAAACCAUUAGUAUCUGCUACCCAUUCCAAGUCAUUAAAUCCGAAACCCUGCAGGAGGAGUCAAAGGUGCCAUCAGGGGACCUUGGCAGUUAUGGUGUUUCUACUCAGCUGAUUUCACUGGAAAGGGCCAGUGCUUUACCUUGAGGCACAGAGGAGAGUGAGGAACCCAGAUCUGGAUUAAACAUGGAUGAAAUGACUAUGAAAAUGUACAGCUGGAGUCAUAGGAUGCAUUUUCGGCUCCCCUCAGUGUGGUGAAGGGGAGAUAAAUGGUGUGUCACUGAUGAGGGAAGGUGUAAAUAGCAUCCAUGCCCAUGUAAAUGGGCAGAGUUAAAACAGAGAAGACCCUGGGCUAAAAUGCUGCAGUGUCUGGGGAAAAGGGCAGAGGCAGGAUUUGUUUCCUGAGAGCUCAGCUCCAACAGAGAAAUGGAUGGUUCAAGUGGGACUCCAGAGUGUGUUACCAUCCAGACAAGGUCUGUGCCCACCAGCUGACCCAGGAUUUGGGAAGCACCUUAUCAUUUGCAUCUGAAAAAACCCCUCAUCACAAGGUAGCUAGCACUGAAAAGAGACAGUCCAAGGAUUGAAUAGGAAGAUGGAUCUGCCCACGGAGGAAACAAAAGGGCAGGCUGGGGAGCUGCAUCUUCAGAAAUGCCCCUGGCCCCUGUCCUAUGAGAAUACAGCCCUGGUGGGCACCGAGACUGGACCUCAGCAGAACCUGACCAGAACAAGCCCAGACACCUCAGGCAUCUCCUAGAAAGCCAGACACCUUGGUUUGUCCCAAGCACAUCCAGAUCCCCUUCCCUCCUCAGAAGGCACUGUUCCUCCUGGGACAGAAUUCCUCGAUCUUCAGACGCCCAAAUUCACGGCAUUUUUGUCGGCUGCGUGGCAUUCCAGCCGCCGGCUGCCUUUCUGAUGUCGCAUGUGGGUGAGCUUUUGCUCACUCUUUUGCCAUCUCUCUGCAAGCAGUGGGAGGCAGAGUGGGGCAAGUGUCACAGGCAAUAAGCAGAAGCAAUUCCGGAAACUUUAUUGCUCAGAAGUGGCACUCGGCCAGGAGAGGAGAAAGAGAAGAGCUCAUAGUUGUGUGCUUGCACACACUGACAAAACUGCUACUGAUGAAUCAGAGAGAGAAAUCUGGAGAGGUGACCUUGGGAGGUCACAGAAGGCUCGUUUUUGCCAACAAAUAUGAACAUUUGCAAUCAUGCUGUGGCCUGAUGCCAGUCACUGUUUUAUGUGCUAUCUCAUCAAAACAUAUGAAUUUUCAAUAGCUGUUUUAGAGUCCUACUUGCUGCGGCGUUAUAUCUCUCCUACUCCUACAGGUUUUGGAUUGUACAGAUACAAAAGCAGGGUAUUGAGGAAAGCUGGCACUUGGGUUGGCAUUGUUUCCCAUGAACAUUUUCCUGCAUUCUGAAAAUCGCCGACUGGUCAAGUGCCGGAAGGUCACUAAGCAACGUGGCAAAACUGAUGACAGAAGGGAGACAAAAAAUCUCUGGAAAAAUGAAACUCCUCCACUGUCCGGCCUGGAAGGUCAAAAAUUGCCAUUUUCAGAUUGCUUGUGUUAAGGGAGGCUCACCCACCCUAGGUGUCAGCCCUUCAGAGAGAACUACUGUAAAUAUCGCCAUCUGUGAUGUUCCUGGUGAAGGACUCUGCUGAUGCAAAGGUUAUUACUCAUUUAUAAACAUAUGGCUGCUGUAAUCCUUCGUUCCUCUAUUCAUAGUGGGAUUUGGGUUUGAUUGAGCUCGGUUUCAAAACAAAGAUUUUUUUUUUUUCCCUGCUCAGCACUAAGGGGACAUUAUCAAUUUGAUUUAUAUUAAUAAAAACAGCAAGCAACCCACUGUGGCAAAUUCUUAAAUCAAUAGAAGUGAUUUGACUUUAAAAAAAAACACCCAUUGAAAGCAGUUGGUCUGAAGGAGCACCACCCAGUGCAGCCUGAAAUCAAAUCUGCAGUGACUGACAAAGAUUGUGAACAAAAAGGCAGAGGAUUCUGCUAUUCAUCAUUGUCCCAACUAAACAAAAUAAUACAAUCUAACAGCAAAUGUAUGCUUUUCUGGCAUUAUUUCCAUUUUGUAAAUCCAGAGAGAUAAAACACUGAGGUUUAUAGUACGUGAGCUGACAGCAUCUUUCAGUGAAACUGUGAUGGCGAAGGCUCUGAAAAUGUGUUUUCAAACUAUGGAUUUUAUUGCCUGUGUGUGUGAUGUGUGAAUACUUGAGCAUAUACAUGCCUUUCAAAUGAGCCCUUUAGAUCUAAGAUCCCAUUUCCUCCAUAUAGUCAACAAAGACCAUAAAGCAAUUUCUGUAGGAGCAAGAGUUCACAUAGAAGACCUGAAAGCUAAAAAUUCCCACCAAACCAGUUCAGAC